rnacentral:rRNA from 1 species
CCUACGGGUGGCAGCAGUGGGGAAUAUUGCACAAUGGGCGAAAGCCUGAUGCAGCAACGCCGCGUGAGCGAUGAUGGCCUUCGGGUCGUAAAGCUCUGUCCUCAAGGAAGAUAAUGACGGUACUUGAGGAGGAAGCCCCGGCUAAUUACGUGCCAGCAGCCGCGGUAAUACGUAGGGGGCUAGCGUUAUCCGGAAUUACUGGGCGUAAAGGGUGCGUAGGUGGUUUCUUAAGUCAGUGGUGAAAUGGUACUGCUAAACCGUAGGAAGCCUUUGAAAAUGGGGAACUUGAGUGCAGGAGAGGAGAGUUGAAUUCCUGGGGUAGCGGUGAAAGGCGUAGAUAUUAGGAGGAACACCAGUUGCGAAGGCGGCGCUCUGGACUGUAACUGACACUGAGGCACGAAAGCGUGGGGAGCAAACAGGAUUAGAUACCCGGGUAGUC